ensembl:lncRNA
AAACACUGCAUGAAACCUGUCCAUUUUAUUUUAAAAGAAAAGGAUUUUUCCCUACUCAGGUGAGAUAUCUAUAUUCAUUUUAUUAUAAACAAGAUUUUCUAAAUUGUUCCUGUAGCUUUACUAGUAUAGCAUGGCAAUGCAAUGGUCAUGUGCUUGUUUCCCUUUAAAAAAAUAAAAAGUAAAGGUAGUGUUGCUUGGAUGUAAGCACAUGACAAAUAAAAAUGGAAGCUAUGGAACCAAUUUUAUUUUGUUUUCCUUCGCAGAGGGAAUUUCAGAUUUACUUGGAUAUGAACAUUGUUGAUGAUGCUGAAAGAAUGCUGACAUUGCAUUUCAACAUCACUGCGCAAAUAAAAAGUACUGGUAGAAAGAAUGGAAUUUUUCGAAAGUUGGGAGGGCUGUAGGAUUAGAAAAUCCCAGCAAAGGGUCAGAGUCAGAAUUUUAUUUUAUUUUAUUUUAUUUUAUUUUGUUAUGGGGGAAAUGUUAUAUUUUCUAUCCAGUUUCUUUAAUAAUAUCAUGAUUAUAUCAAUAUGGACUGUUGUGGAGAGUCAUGAUAUUGUUUUAGUUGUGAAAGUGUUAAUAAAUUUACAUUUAAAUGCAAAUAUCCUCUGAAUUUACAAUAAGAAUUUAUUUUGUGACCAAACUUCUGUUUACCGGCACUUCUGUGUUCACCUAUUUACAAGUACUUACAGAAAAAACAAAACAAAAAAAAACACAUGAUUCACGGUUCAGUCCAAAAGAGAAGUUUGGCAAGUUUAUUAGAUUAUGAUUUGAUCAUAGCCCAGCUUUUAGGAAGAAAAACCAUUACACACGGAGAGAUUUUGCCACUGUUUCAUUAUAUACAGCAAUGAUGCUUCUGUACCUUUCAGUUUUUCUUUGCUAUAUGUUGGCAUUGUCUUCUAUGUCCCCGGCAGAGAAACAAUUGGGUUGUUCCUCAGAAAGUGUUAGCAUUUGGUACAGCUACAAUGGGCCAUUAUAUUACCUGUCAGUGUCUGCAUCCCCCUGCUCUCUAGGAAUGUCAGUGUACAAUUUAACGUGUACAGUAAUUCCAAUGUUCACAAUCACACGUGUUGGAUUUCAUGCUCUUAUUUACUACAAAGACCAGCUGUGGUUAGAUCACGUGCAGCCAGAUGUUCCUUGUGAAGAUUUGAAAAUAUGUGACAUCAUCAAAGGAGAAACACUUCAUGAAACAGUUCCAAUUCAUGUGAGAAAAUAUUAUGGCCCUAAGGUGAGCAAAUCUAACAGGGAGAGUAUCAGAUUUAUGUAGAUGUGAACAUUGUCGAUGAUGCUGAAAGAAUGCUGACAUUACGCUUCAAUAUCACGAUGCAAAUUAAAAGCACUGAUCGUAAGAAUACAAUUUUUCAACAGCUGGGAGGGCUAUAGGACAAGAAAAUCCUAUUUUUAAUUAGUAAGACAUAGCACUGACAAGGAUGCAUUAAAAUGUAACAAAGAGUUCUAUUUCAUAUAGCACAACUUUUUUCAAUGAUGAUAGGAAAUGUUUCUUGAGCUCCAAAAUCUGAAUAGAAUGAUUUCUGAAGGAUCAUG